AUGGGCUAUGGCCGGGAAGAGGUCAGGGAGCAAGGGGGCCACGGGGAUCCGGGGCGUGGGACUCGGGCCCCGGCCUGAGUCUUAGGUAUCCGUAGCGCCCUCCUUCUUCCUCCUCUUCGCUGAAUACAGCUCACGGUAAGUACUGGUUCACACAGUUCGUUCUCGGGGUGCUCACUCUCUUUCUCUUCCUCCACAGGCAACGGCUGGGACACACAGGCACAGUUAGUUCAGCUUGGUUUUGCUCUCACCUCUUCGCUGAUUACAGCUCACAGUAUCAACUUGGGCACAAUAGCACAGUUAGUUUGCUUUGAAUGGCUCUCACCUCUGGGCUGAACACAGCGUACUGUAAGUACAGGUUUCCUCUGUUUCUCCUUGUGUUACUCACUCUCUCUUUCCUUUCCUCUCCACAGGUAUCAACUUGGGCACAAUAGCACAGUUAGUUUGCUUUGAAUGGCUCUCACCUCUGGGCUGGACACAGCGUACUGUAAGUACAGGGUUCGCUCUAUUCCUCCUCGUGUUAUUCACUCUCUCUCCUUUUCUCUCCACAGGUAUCAACUUGGGCACAAUAGCACAGUUACUCUGCUUUGGAUGGCUUUCACCUCUGGG
ensembl:lncRNA